GGCUCCUGGCGCUGCUGGGGGCGGGGUCUCUGGCCCCGCCCUCCGUCCGCGCGGCCGCCGCCCCCCUGGGCCCUGCCGGGCUCCUAUUGGCCCUCCUGGCCCUGCAGGCGGGGUCUGUGCGCCGCGCCCUCCCCGGGGGCGGGGCCAACACGUUGUGCCUCCCCCCCCGGCCCGGGGACCCCCUGAGGCCCUGCGCCCCCCCCCAGACCCCCAACGCCUCCUGGGGUCCUCCCGCCCAGCAGGGGGCGCUGCCUGCCCUGCCCGCGCCCAGCGCGCGGCUCCUGGCGCGGAACCUGUGGCCCCGCCCCCCGGAGGCGGGUCUGGGGGCGGGGCCAGAGGAGGAGGAAGGGGAGGGCGGGGCCGACGCCUCCUUCGGGGUCCUGCUGGGGCUGAGCCUCCCCUCGGCCUCUGGUGA